rnacentral:rRNA from 1 species
UACAGAGGGUGCGAGCGUUGUCCGGAAUCACUGGGCUUAAAGGGCGCGUAGGCGGGCUGACAAGUCUGGGGUGAAAUGCCGCGGCUCAACCGUGGAACUGCCUUAGAUACUGUCGGCCUCGAGGAAGGUAGGGGCAUGCGGAACUGUAGGUGGAGCGGUGAAAUGCGUUGAUAUCUACAGGAACUCCGGUGGCGAAAGCGGCGUGCUGGACCUUUUCUGACGCUGAGGCGCGAAAGCUAGGGGAGCAAACGGG